ACUGUGGAAGUGCUAUACAAACUGUAGUAGCUUAGGCAAGGCAAAGCACGUUGAAGCAGUAA
rnacentral:sRNA from 1 species